AUCACGCUGGCGGCGUGCCUCAGACAUGCAAGUCGAACGAUUAAAGCUCUCUUCGGAGAGUGCAUAGAGUGGCGCACGGGUGAGUAACACGUAAGUAAUCUACCUUCGAGUGGGGAAUAACGUCCGGAAACGGGCGCUAAUACCGCAUAAUGCAGCGGCAUCGCAAGAUGACAGUUGUUAAAGGAGCAAUCCGCUUGAAGAGGAGCUUGCGGCAGAUUAGCUAGUUGGUAGGGUAAUGGCCUACCAAGGCUACGAUCUGUAACCGGUCUUAGAGGACGGUCGGUCACACUGACACUGAAUAACGGGUCAGACUCCUACGGGAGGCAGCAGUCGGGAAUUUUGGGCAAUGGGGGAAACCCUGACCCAGCAACGCCGCGUGAAGGAUGAAGUAUUUCGGUAUGUAAACUUCGAAAGAAUAGGAAGAAUUAAUGACGGUACUAUUUAUAAGGUCCGGCUAACUACGUG
rnacentral:rRNA from 1 species